UUACGGCUCAGUAACACGUGGACAACCUAACCUAUGGUGGGGGAUAACCCCGGGAAACUGGGGAUAAUACCCCAUAGACUAUGGAAGCUGGAAUGCUCUGUAGCCGAAAGGUCAGCCGCCGUAGGAUGGGUCUGCGGCCGAUUAGGUAGUUGUUGGGGUAACGGCCCAACAAGCCUGUAAUCGGUACGGGUUGCGGGAGCAAGAGCCCGGAGAUGGAUUCUGAGACACGAAUCCAGGCCCUACGGGGCGCAGCAGGCGCGAAAACUUUACAAUGCGGGAAACCGUGAUAAGGGAACUCCGAGUGCCCGUUAAGUCGGGCUGUCCACCAGUUUAAAAAACUGGUGAAGAAAGGGCCGGGCAAGACCGGUGCCAGCCGCCGCGGUAAUACCGGCGGCUCGAGUGGUGGCCACUAUUACUGGGCUUAAAGCGUUCGUAGCUGGUUUGUUAAGUCUCUGGGGAAAUCUUCCGGCUUAACCGGAAGGCGUCUCAGGGAUACUGGCAGACUAGGGACCGGAAGAGGUGAGGGGUACUCCAGGGGUAGGAGUGAAAUCCUGUAAUCCUUGGGGGACCACCUGUGGCGAAGGCGCCUCACCAGGACGGCUCCGACAGUGAGGGACGAAAGCUGGGGGAGCAAGCCGGAUUAGAUACCCGGGUAGUCCCAGCCGUAAACGAUGUGCGUUAGGUGUAUCGGUGACCACGAGUCACCGAGGUGCCGAAGAGAAAUCGUGAA
rnacentral:rRNA from 1 species